rnacentral:lncRNA from 1 species
AAAAAACUGGUUAGGUCAUGGCUGUUAUUAUAAGUGAUAGAGUAGGUCAGUUAUUCAUAUAUAAAUUUAUUUAAUGUGAUAAUUUGAGGUUUAAAAUUCUGAGAAUAUAGUUUCAUCAAAAUAAUUAUUAAAAUACUACUUUAAAAUAUCUUAUUUGGGGGCUGGGGUUUUCGCUAGUAGUAGAGCACAGGCCUAGGUUGUGUGAGACACUGGGUUCAAUCCUCAGCACCACAUAAAAAUAAAUAAAUAAAUAUAAAGGUAUUGUGUCUAUCUACAAUUAAGAAACUAUUUUUUUUAAAUGUCUUGUUUUCUGUUUGCAUUUUUCAAGUGAGAUAAUCUUCAUUAUUAAGGACAUAUUCUAUGCCCAGUACUUCACUAUAGAACAUAAAGAUGGUGCCUACUGGCAAAUAACUUUUCGCCUAGGUGAGAAUGUUGUACUAACAUAUAAGCAACAACUAGAGAACAAUAAAAUGUAAACUAUCUUGCAAUUUAGAAGUAUGGUAGAAACUCAAAAGAAAUGUGGACUUAGACUGAGAGAAGACUUCUUAGAGAAGGUAAAGGAUGAGUUGGGCUUAAAAAGUGGAUGGGAUUGAUUAGGUGAAUUGAAGGAAUGAUAGACUUUCAAGUACAUAAAAUAACAUGAGCCAAGGAGUGAUCAGGUAGGAAGAAGUAAAGUACAUACAAUAGACUGAAGGAAUAGAGUAGGCUUUCGGGACAGGUAGGGAAAUUAAUAUAACCAUGUUUGAGAUUAUUUUCCUUCCUUUUCAUAAGGUGAUCUCAUUUCUAAUCAAAGAAAACAAGUAUUCAGAUUGCCUGCAGCCCCUCAAGAGCCAAGAUAUGAUGCUUUGAAGAAGAAGAAGAAGAAGAAAAAAAGCCUGUAAGAAAUAAUUGAAAGGAAACAGGCUUAAAAAAUACAAGUUUACCCUAAACGAUUUAGGAAGUCUGUGGCUCUUACCAAAUCAGGUAAGAAAUAUUGAGGGGAAAUGGUUGCAUAGCCAAAAUUCUAUCCAGGAUCUUUUUUGAUAAAUUACCACUAUAGGAAUGUCUGUGAUCUAAUUACAAUAGUUGUUAAGCCAAAGAGAAAUGAGCCUUUUCCAAACCUCUCUCUGAUUUUCAUCCAAGCCUUAGCUCAAGUUAUUUUCUCCUAAAAGGUCCUUUCCUUCAUCUUCAGUUGGCUAAAUCUUCUUAUGCCAUCUACCUCCUACAUUAAAUUUUCCCAAUUCUCUUUUCUUCUUUAGCCAAAAUGCUAUUUCUCCCUUUUGCGCUUCUGUACUUAGAACAAUUAAUACAUACUGCCUUAUGAAAAUGACUGUCGUAUUCUUACUAUAAUACUCUAGAAACUUUGCAUAGUGUCUUGAACAUAGUGGGUGCUUGAUAAAUAAACAUUGAUUGCUAAAAAUCAGCAGUAAUGCCAUUUAUAGUAAAAUAGUAUUUUCUAGAAAGGCUGAAUACCAGCUAGCUAGAUACAAAAAUACCUAGAUUCUUUUUUGGUACUGUAGGAGUUCUCCAACUUUUACUACAUCACUUAACCAGGGUUACUCAUGUUCUGUCCUGCCUACUAAUAUUCAUGCUUCAAGUCAUAAAUACCUUAAAGUGUCUUUUUCCUUUUGUUUUUGUUUUGUUUUUUGUUUUUGAACCAAAGCCAGAAACUAGACUGGGAGUAUUGCUCAGUGAUAGAGUGCUUGCCCAGCACAUCCUAGGCUCUGAUUUUAAGCCUCAGCACCUCAAAACAAUAACCAAAGCCUGAAACCUAUGGGCAAGGGAAUGAAUAAUCAGGAGUAUGGUAUUUGGAUAUCCCACUUGAGGACCUUGAAUAAUCUAAUUGAUCAUUUCUAAGCUUUCCAUAAAAUAUGAAAUACUGUGAAUUAUUACCUAUUGGCCUUUAUUUGUAUGUCCUUGAGAAGAUAGGAAGUGUUAGUAGAUGAAGUCUUUAAGUUAAAAAAGAUACAUUUUAAGGCUGGAGCAGAAAGAUUGCAAGUUUGAGGUCAACCUAGGCAAAUACCUAGACAAAUCAGUGAAGACUGUCUCAAAUUUUU